rnacentral:rRNA from 1 species
CUGGGAGGACCAUCUCCUAAGGCUAAAUACUCUCUAGUGACCGAUAGUGAACCAGUACCGUGAGGGAAAGGUGAAAAGCACCCCGGAAGGGGAGUGAAAUAGAACCUGAAACCGUGUGCUUACAAGUAGUCAGAGCCCGUUAAUGGGUGAUGGCGUGCCUUUUGUAGAAUGAACCGGCGAGUUACGAUUUGAUGCAAGGUUAAGCAGUAAAUGUGGAGCCGUAGCGAAAGCGAGUCUGAAUAGGGCGUUUAGUAUUUGGUCGUAGACCCGAAACCAGGUGAUCUACCCUUGGUCAGGUUGAAGUUCAGGUAACACUGAAUGGAGGACCGAACCGACUUACGUUGAAAAGUGAGCGGAUGAACUGAGGGUAGCGGAGAAAUUCCAAUCGAACCUGGAGAUAGCUGGUUCUCUCCGAAAUAGCUUUAGGGCUAGCCUCAAGUGAUGAUUAUUGGAGGUAGAGCACUGUUUGGACGAGGGGCCCCUCUCGGGUUACCGAAUUCAGACAAACUCCGAAUGCCAAUUAAUUUAACUUGGGAGUCAGAACAUGGGUGAUAAGGUCCGUGUUCGAAAGGGAAACAGCCCAGACCACCAGCUAAGGUCCCAAAAUAUAUGUUAAGUGGAAAAGGAUGUGGCGUUGCCCAGACAACUAGGAUGUUGGCUUAGAAGCAGCCAUCAUUUAAAGAGUGCGUAAUAGCUCACUAGUCGAGUGACACUGCGCCGAAAAUGUACCGGGGCUAAACAUAUUACCGAAGCUGUGGAUUGUCCUUUGGACAAUGGUAGGAGAGCGUUCUAAGGGCGUUGAAGCAUGAUCGUAAGGACAUGUGGAGCGCUUAGAAGUGAGAAUGCCGGUGUGAGUAGCGAAAGACGGGUGAGAAUCCCGUCCACCGAUUGACUAAGGUUUCCAGAGGAAGGCUCGUCCGCUCUGGGUUAGUCGGGUCCUAAGCUGAGGCCGACAGGCGUAGGCGAUGGAUAACAGGUUGAUAUUCCUGUACCACCUAUAAUCGUUUUAAUCGAUGGGGGGACGCAGUAGGAUAGGCGAAGCGUGCGAUUGGAUUGCACGUCUAAGCAGUAAGGCUGAGUAUUAG